rnacentral:rRNA from 1 species
GAUCUCCUACGGGAGGCAGCAGUGAGGAAUAUUGGUCAAUGGGCGCGAGCCUGAACCAGCCAAGUCGCGUGAGGGAGGACGGCCCUACGGGUUGUAAACCUCUUUUGCCGGGGAGCAACGGGCGUCACGUGUGGCGCCACUGAGAGUACCCGGAGAAAAAGCAUCGGCUAACUCCGUGCCAGCAGCCGCGGUAAUACGGAGGAUGCGAGCGUUAUCCGGAUUUAUUGGGUUUAAAGGGUGCGCAGGCGGUCUGCUAAGUCAGCGGUCAAAACCCGGGGCUCAACCCCGGCCCGCCGUUGAAACUG